UAAGACUGGGAUAACUCCGGGAAACCGGGGCUAAUACCGGAUGGUUGUUUGAACCGCAUGGUUCAGACAUAAAAGGUGGCUUCGGCUACCACUUACAGAUGGACCCGCGGCGCAUUAGCUAGUUGGUGAGGUAACGGCUCACCAAGGCGACGAUGCGUAGCCGACCUGAGAGGGUGAUCGGCCACACUGGGACUGAGACACGGCCCAGACUCCUACGGGAGGCAGCAGUAGGGAAUCUUCCGCAAUGGACGAAAGUCUGACGGAGCAACGCCGCGUGAGUGAUGAAGGUUUUCGGAUCGUAAAGCUCUGUUGUUAGGGAAGAACAAGUGCCGUUCAAAUAGGGCGGCACCUUGACGGUACCUAACCAGAAAGCCACGGCUAACUACGUGCCAGCAGCCGCGGUAAUACGUAGGUGGCAAGCGUUGUCCGGAAUUAU
rnacentral:rRNA from 1 species